GGAGCGGUGAGUGGGAUUCAGGCGGCUUCAACCGGGUCCGACUGCUGUCAACUGAUGCGACUUGAUCUACCGAACCUCCAUUUCACAGGUCAUCGCGGCAUACCUGGAAGUCAGAGGGUCGGGGGUUCGAGUCCCCUCGGCUCCA
rnacentral:tRNA from 1 species